GGGUUGUGAGGUUAAGCGACUAAGCGUACACGGUGGAUGCCCUGGCAGUCAGAGGCGAUGAAGGACGUGCUAAUCUGCGAUAAGCGUCGGUAAGGUGAUAUGAACCGUUAUAACCGGCGAUUUCCGAAUGGGGAAACCCAGUGUGAUUCGUCACACUAUCAUUAACUGAAUCCAUAGGUUAAUGAGGCGAACCGGGGGAACUGAAACAUCUAAGUACCCCGAGGAAAAGAAAUCAACCGAGAUUCCCCCAGUAGCGGCGAGCGAACGGGGAGCAGCCCAGAGCCUGAAUCAGUGUGUGUGUUAGUGGAAGCGUCUGGAAAGGCGCGCGAUACAGGGUGACAGCCCCGUACACAAAAAUGCACAUACUGUGAGCUCGAUGAGUAGGGCGGGACACGUGGUAUCCUGUCUGAAUAUGGGGGGACCAUCCUCCAAGGCUAAAUACUCCUGACUGACCGAUAGUGAACCAGUACCGUGAGGGAAAGGCGAAAAGAACCCCGGCGAGGGGAGUGAAAAAGAACCUGAAACCGUGUACGUACAAGCAGUGGGAGCCUCUUUAUGGGGUGACUGCGUACCUUUUGUAUAAUGGGUCAGCGACUUAUAUUCUGUAGCAAGGUUAACCGAAUAGGGGAGCCGAAGGGAAACCGAGUCUUAACUGGGCGUUAAGUUGCAGGGUAUAGACCCGAAACCCGGUGAUCUAGCCAUGGGCAGGUUGAAGGUUGGGUAACACUAACUGGAGGACCGAACCGACUAAUGUUGAAAAAUUAGCGGAUGACUUGUGGCUGGGGGUGAAAGGCCAAUCAAACCGGGAGAUAGCUGGUUCUCCCCGAAAGCUAUUUAGGUAGCGCCUCGUGAAUUCAUCUCCGGGGGUAGAGCACUGUUUCGGCAAGGGGGUCAUCCCGACUUACCAACCCGAUGCAAACUGCGAAUACCGGAGAAUGUUAUCACGGGAGACACACGGCGGGUGCUAACGUCCGUCGUGAAGAGGGAAACAACCCAGACCGCCAGCUAAGGUCCCAAAGUCAUGGUUAAGUGGGAAACGAUGUGGGAAGGCCCAGACAGCCAGGAUGUUGGCUUAGAAGCAGCCAUCAUUUAAAGAAAGCGUAAUAGCUCACUGGUCGAGUCGGCCUGCGCGGAAGAUGUAACGGGGCUAAACCAUGCACCGAAGCUGCGGCAGCGACACUAUGUGUUGUUGGGUAGGGGAGCGUUCUGUAAGCCUGUGAAGGUGUGCUGUGAGGCAUGCUGGAGGUAUCAGAAGUGCGAAUGCUGACAUAAGUAACGAUAAAGCGGGUGAAAAGCCCGCUCGCCGGAAGACCAAGGGUUCCUGUCCAACGUUAAUCGGGGCAGGGUGAGUCGACCCCUAAGGCGAGGCCGAAAGGCGUAGUCGAUGGGAAACAGGUUAAUAUUCCUGUACUUGGUGUUACUGCGAAGGGGGGACGGAGAAGGCUAUGUUGGCCGGGCGACGGUUGUCCCGGUUUAAGCGUGUAGGCUGGUUUUCCAGGCAAAUCCGGAAAACUAAGGCUGAGGCGUGAUGACGAGGCACUACGGUGCUGAAGCAACAAAUGCCCUGCUUCCAGGAAAAGCCUCUAAGCAUCAGGUAACAUCAAAUCGUACCCCAAACCGACACAGGUGGUCAGGUAGAGAAUACCAAGGCGCUUGAGAGAACUCGGGUGAAGGAACUAGGCAAAAUGGUGCCGUAACUUCGGGAGAAGGCACGCUGAUAUGUAGGUGAAGCGACUUGCUCGUGGAGCUGAAAUCAGUCGAAGAUACCAGCUGGCUGCAACUGUUUAUUAAAAACACAGCACUGUGCAAACACGAAAGUGGACGUAUACGGUGUGACGCCUGCCCGGUGCCGGAAGGUUAAUUGAUGGGGUUAGCGGUAACGCGAAGCUCUUGAUCGAAGCCCCGGUAAACGGCGGCCGUAACUAUAACGGUCCUAAGGUAGCGAAAUUCCUUGUCGGGUAAGUUCCGACCUGCACGAAUGGCGUAAUGAUGGCCAGGCUGUCUCCACCCGAGACUCAGUGAAAUUGAACUCGCUGUGAAGAUGCAGUGUACCCGCGGCAAGACGGAAAGACCCCGUGAACCUUUACUAUAGCUUGACACUGAACAUUGAGCCUUGAUGUGUAGGAUAGGUGGGAGGCUUUGAAGUGUGGACGCCAGUCUGCAUGGAGCCGACCUUGAAAUACCACCCUUUAAUGUUUGAUGUUCUAACGUUGACCCGUGAUCCGGGUUGCGGACAGUGUCUGGUGGGUAGUUUGACUGGGGCGGUCUCCUCCUAAAGAGUAACGGAGGAGCACGAAGGUUGGCUAAUCCUGGUCGGACAUCAGGAGGUUAGUGCAAUGGCAUAAGCCAGCUUGACUGCGAGCGUGACGGCGCGAGCAGGUGCGAAAGCAGGUCAUAGUGAUCCGGUGGUUCUGAAUGGAAGGGCCAUCGCUCAACGGAUAAAAGGUACUCCGGGGAUAACAGGCUGAUACCGCCCAAGAGUUCAUAUCGACGGCGGUGUUUGGCACCUCGAUGUCGGCUCAUCACAUCCUGGGGCUGAAGUAGGUCCCAAGGGUAUGGCUGUUCGCCAUUUAAAGUGGUACGCGAGCUGGGUUUAGAACGUCGUGAGACAGUUCGGUCCCUAUCUGCCGUGGGCGCUGGAGAACUGAGGGGGGCUGCUCCUAGUACGAGAGGACCGGAGUGGACGCAUCACUGGUGUUCGGGUUGUCAUGCCAAUGGCACUGCCCGGUAGCUAAAUGCGGAAGAGAUAAGUGCUGAAAGCAUCUAAGCACGAAACUUGCCCCGAGAUGAGUUCUCCCUGACUCCCUGAGAGUCCUGAAGGAACGUUGAAGACGACGACGUUGAUAGGCCGGGUGUGUAAGCGCAGCGAUGCGUUGAGCUAACCGGUACUAAUGAACCGUGAGGCUUAACCUUACAACGCCGAAGGUGUUU
rnacentral:rRNA from 1 species